rnacentral:rRNA from 1 species
AAAUUGAAGAGUUUGAUCAUGGCUCAGAUUGAACGCUGGCGGCAGGCCUAACACAUGCAAGUCGAACGGUAGCACAGAGAGCUUGCUCUCGGGUGACGAGUGGCGGACGGGUGAGUAAUGUCUGGGAAACUGCCUGAUGGAGGGGGAUAACUACUGGAAACGGUAGCUAAUACCGCAUAACGUCGCAAGACCAAAGAGGGGGACCUUCGGGCCUCUUGCCAUCAGAUGUGCCCAGAUGGGAUUAGCUAGUAGGUGGGGUAAUGGCUCACCUAGGCGACGAUCCCUAGCUGGUCUGAGAGGAUGACCAGCCACACUGGAACUGAGACACGGUCCAGACUCCUACGGGAGGCAGCAGUGGGGAAUAUUGCACAAUGGGCGCAAGCCUGAUGCAGCCAUGCCGCGUGUAUGAAGAAGGCCUUCGGGUUGUAAAGUACUUUCAGCGGGGAGGAAGGUGUUGUGGUUAAUAACCACAGCAAUUGACGUUACCCGCAGAAGAAGCACCGGCUAACUCCGUGCCAGCAGCCGCGGUAAUACGGAGGGUGCAAGCGUUAAUCGGAAUUACUGGGCGUAAAGCGCACGCAGGCGGUCUGUCAAGUCGGAUGUGAAAUCCCCGGGCUCAACCUGGGAACUGCAUUCGAAACUGGCAGGCUAGAGUCUUGUAGAGGGGGGUAGAAUUCCAGGUGUAGCGGUGAAAUGCGUAGAGAUCUGGAGGAAUACCGGUGGCGAAGGCGGCCCCCUGGACAAAGACUGACGCUCAGGUGCGAAAGCGUGGGGAGCAAACAGGAUUAGAUACCCUGGUAGUCCACGCCGUAAACGAUGUCGACUUGGAGGUUGUUCCCUUGAGGAGUGGCUUCCGGAGCUAACGCGUUAAGUCGACCGCCUGGGGAGUACGGCCGCAAGGUUAAAACUCAAAUGAAUUGACGGGGGCCCGCACAAGCGGUGGAGCAUGUGGUUUAAUUCGAUGCAACGCGAAGAACCUUACCUACUCUUGACAUCCAGAGAACUUAGCAGAGAUGCUUUGGUGCCUUCGGGAACUCUGAGACAGGUGCUGCAUGGCUGUCGUCAGCUCGUGUUGUGAAAUGUUGGGUUAAGUCCCGCAACGAGCGCAACCCUUAUCCUUUGUUGCCAGCGGUCCGGCCGGGAACUCAAAGGAGACUGCCAGUGAUAAACUGGAGGAAGGUGGGGAUGACGUCAAGUCAUCAUGGCCCUUACGAGUAGGGCUACACACGUGCUACAAUGGCGCAUACAAAGAGAAGCGACCUCGCGAGAGCAAGCGGACCUCAUAAAGUGCGUCGUAGUCCGGAUUGGAGUCUGCAACUCGACUCCAUGAAGUCGGAAUCGCUAGUAAUCGUAGAUCAGAAUGCUACGGUGAAUACGUUCCCGGGCCUUGUACACACCGCCCGUCACACCAUGGGAGUGGGUUGCAAAAGAAGUAGGUAGCUUAACCUUCGGGAGGGCGCUUACCACUUUGUGAUUCAUGACUGGGGUGAAGUCGUAACAAGGUAACCGUAGGGGAACCUGCGGUUGGAUCACCUCCUUACCUUAAAGAA